rnacentral:rRNA from 1 species
AGCUCCCUAAGUGGUGAGGACGAUUAUUGGGCCUAAAGCGUCCGUAGCCGGCUUGGUAAGUUCUCCGUCAAAUCCGGCGAUCCAAUCGUCGGAUCGCGGGGAAUACUGUUAAGCUAGGAGGCGGAAGAGGCCGUCAGUACUUUCGGGGUAGGGGUGAAAUCCUAUAAUCCCGAAAGGACUACCAGUGGCGAAGGCGGACGGCCAGGACGCGCUCGACGGUGAGGGACGAAAGCUGGGGGAGCAAACCGGAUUAGAUACCCGAGUAGUCC